rnacentral:rRNA from 1 species
UGGGGAAUUUUGGACAAUGGGCGAAAGCCUGAUCCAGCAAUGCCGCGUGUGUGAAGAAGGCCUUCGGGUUGUAAAGCACUUUUGUCCGGAAAGAAAUCCUUGGCUCUAAUACAGUCGGGGGAUGACGGUACCGGAAGAAUAAGCACCGGCUAACUACGUGCCAGCAGCCGCGGUAAUACGUAGGGUGCAAGCGUUAAUCGGAAUUACUGGGCGUAAAGCGUGCGCAGGCGGUUUGCUAAGACCGAUGUGAAAUCCCCGGGCUCAACCUGGGAACUGCAUUGGUGACUGGCAGGCUAGAGUAUGGCAGAGGGGGGUAGAAUUCCACGUGUAGCAGUGAAAUGCGUAGAGAUGUGGAGGAAUACCGAUGGCGAAGGCAGCCCCCUGGGCCAAUACUGACGCUCAUGCACGAAAGCGUGGGGAGCAAAACAGGAUUAGAUACCCUGGUAGUCCACGCCC